GACGAACGCUGGCGGCGUGCCUAAUACAUGCAAGUAGAACGCACAGUUUAUACCGUAGCUUGCUACACCAUAGACUGUGAGUUGCGAACGGGUGAGUAACGCGUAGGUAACCUGCCUGGUAGCGGGGGAUAACUAUUGGAAACGAUAGCUAAUACCGCAUAAUAUUGAUUAUUGCAUGAUAAUUAAUUGAAAGGUGCAAUUGCACCACUACCAGAUGGACCUGCGUUGUAUUAGCUAGUAGGUGAGGUAACGGCUCACCUAGGCGACGAUACAUAGCCGACCUGAGAGGGUGAUCGGCCACACUGGGACUGAGACACGGCCCAGACUCCUACGGGAGGCAGCAGUAGGGAAUCUUCGGCAAUGGACGAAAGUCUGACCGAGCAACGCCGCGGGAGUGAAGAAGGUUUUCGGAUCGUAAAGCUCUGUUGUAAGAGAAGAACGGGUGUGAGAGUGGAAAGUUCACACUGUGACGGUAUCUUACCAGAAAGGGACGGCUAACUACGUG
rnacentral:rRNA from 1 species